rnacentral:rRNA from 1 species
GAUGAACGCUAGCGGCAGGCUUAAUACAUGCAAGUCGAGGGGCAGCACAGGUAGCAAUACUGGGUGGCGACCGGCAAACGGGUGCGGAACACGUACGCAACCUUCCUUUAAGCGGAGAAUAGCCCCAGGGAAACUUGGAUUAAUACUCCAUAAGAUAGUGGUGUGGCAUCACACUGUUAUUAAAGCUCCGGCACUUAAAGAUGGGCGUGCGACUGAUUAGGUAGUUGGCGGGGUAACGGCCCACCAAGCCAACGAUCAGUAACUGGUGUG